UGUAACCAUGUGUGGGGAAACAGGAAUUAGGGAGAGGUGAGGAAGAGGAAUUGGUCAACAGGAAGCAGGUGGUUGCUUAGGCCAUCAUGAUGGGUGACGGGUUGGGUUUCUCAUUGUCCAGAUGUGUAGACCUGGUGGGUUUCAACUGCCUGAUACUAUCUGGGAGGACUGAUGGUUGGCUUCCUGAGAAAGGAACUCAGAUAACUGUAAUUUUCUUGAGUUUUAAGACUGAGGGUUAAUUUAUAUGCUUUUUCAAAAGAAACCAAAAAUAUUAGUUCUAUGGGACAAUUGGGCUGGUUUCAAUUGCUAAGCUUGAGGCAAAGUUCCUGAGAAACUGUUCCUCCAUACAGUGGCUCUGUCUGACCUGUGCACAUGGCCUCAGGUACCUUGUGACCCUCUGUCUAUUAUAGGUGGCUCAAGGCUGUGGUGCCGUUCUUUGCAUUGGCAGUACCUGACAUUUUGAUUCUUACAGAGGCUACUGGAGGGAACUUGGUGUGAGACAGUUGAUAUCAUCAAUGCCUUUUUCAGCAUCCUCCCACAUGGAGAAGUCCAGGAUCAACUUGCCUUUAUGUGGAAUGGGUUGCAAUGCACCUUUAAUGUCCUUCCACAAAGCGACCUAAAUUCCCCAUGUAGCUGCCAUCAAUGAAUAGGUUAUGCUCUGGGGAGAGUUGCAUGCCUAGAGGAAGUACUAGCCUUGCACUCUAUUGAUGACAUCCUCCUGGUGAACCCAAACAAAGACAUUGCCAAAUAAGGACUGGGUGCUUGAGGACAGAUGACUCUCAAGCAGCAACCCGACUGCACCAUUAAGACACAGGGACCCCAAGUGAAGUUCCUGGUUGUAAUCUGGGCAAGUGGCACCACAUCUCGUUUAGAAGAGAUGACUGCCAAGCUUUUGACUGUCUCUGCCCAGCCAAUAAAAAGGAUGCCCAGUGAUUUGUGGGCUUAUUCACUUACUAUUACUGUCACAUUCCCCUUGUGGGGAUUUUGAUGGGACCCAGCUAAGAGGUUACUAGAAAAGGCUGCUAUGUUUGAAUGGUACCCAUUCAACAGGCUACCACAGCCAUCCAAGCACCCUUCCCCUGGACCCCAUGGAUCCACAUUUGCCAUUUGACUUACAGGUCUCAACAACAUUUCAGUUCCUUUACUGUUGCUCAUAGUAGAAAAAUACUUCAGACACUUGUUGGGGUUUUCAACUUACAAGAUCCUGGAGUCAGCUGAAAGGCACAUACACUUUGAGAAACAAUUAUUGUCCUCUUAUUGGGCCUAUGUAGAUAUGCAUGAAUACAUGAGCCAUGGCUGUGAUAUAGUUUUAUGAUCCCAAAUUCCAAUCAUGUUAUGAGUGAGCGGAGGCCUCAAAUCUCCAGGUGGGGGUGGCUCAGGAGUAUUCUCUAGUGAAUGAAAAUGUUCUAUACAGAAGCAGGUAAAACCCAGCCCAGCUGGGGCCUUCAACUCCAUGGCAAGGACUCAGGAGUGUCACCCCCCUCCCAGGCAUAUCAUCCAAUGAGCCACUGCCUUUACUUGCCCAAUGGGAGCUCAGAUACAAGGACCUUCUGGGCCACACAUAAGCCUGGUUCACUGACAGUGUCUCUUGUUUAACAUUUACUAGGCUAGAAUAAGGUGCAGCUGUCAUCCAGCCUGAGAUGUAUCUAUCCCUUGGCAAGCUCAGCGUAAGUGUGCAAAGCUUUAUAAAGUAUGGUUGGCUACCCAGGCUCCCUCAACAAAGGAGCCCUGCUAUAUUUUCACUGACUCAUGGGCUGUAGUUAAUGGUCUGAACAUUUGAUUGGGCUACUGGCAAAACUGGUACUGACAUGUGAAACACAUCCCUCUCUUGGGACGAGACAUUUGGAUAAAAUUCAAUUCUACUCCUAAUAAGCUCUUUGUUAUCCUUGUGGGUGCUCACCAGAGAGCUGCCUAUGCUGACAAAGGCAAUGAGCCAACCAAGGCAAUGAGCAGACCAUGCAUGUCAGCUAAACAGGGAGAAUGAUUUGUCAUCUGCCCCAGAGAUAACAGAUAUUCAACUCAUUGACUCCUGGAUCCAUGAGAGGAAGGGCCCUGGGAAUCAAGAUGCCAUCCUUGCCUGGAUCUGUAUGCAUGAACUAUUAUCUUCAAAAGAUGCCAACACAGCAUGAAAGAGAUAAUCCAUCUGCCAGACCCUGACCAAGGCUAAACAUUCUGCUCAGGGACAGAUCCUUCAGGUAAAAAAGGCCAGGAUGUUCUUUGCAGGUUGAUCACACUAGUCCCCUCAUCCCAUCCAGAGCGUUCAGGUGGAUCCUAAAUGUAGUUGAUGAGUUCUCUGUAUUUGGACUAGUCAUCCCCAUGUGUUUUACUGACUCAGGCAACACUCUUUAUUCCCUCCAAAACCAUAUUUGUUUCUUUCUCUGGCUUCCUGAAUACAUUGUAUCUAAUAAUGGCCCAAAUGAUACAUUUGCAGCCCAAACUAUACAUGGGUCAAAUCAUGGGGCGUGAUGGAUUCUCCAUCCUCUUUAACAUCUACAAGCCACAGCAGUGAUUACAUAUUUUAACAGGAAAAGAUCAGGUUGAAGUGGCUAAUGGAAAUGGACAAUAUAAUCCCAGCCUGGCUACAUGUCUCAGGAUACACUGAGAAGCACUAGCUUCUUCUGUGACAUUCUUGCCAACAUUCUCAGCACCUGAAUGUAAGUGCAGAAACAUCAGACAGAAUUGAAUUGAGGGAUAUUCUACCAAAUAAUUGACUGAAACUCUACAAAAGAGGCAAUGUCAUAAAAGACAAGCACUGCGGAGGUGCCACAGGAGGAUGUGUGAUAACUAAUUGCAACCUGCGAGUUUCUUUGGGUCCCACAAAAGACCUGAAUAAAUACAAAAGAAGACAUUCAAAUGUCCAAGGAGGAAAUAAAAUAAAAAGAUUUGAUUAUGGUAGUUAUCAAGACGUGCAUAUGAAAUGCACAGUGAAAUACCGCCACAAGUAUACCAAAGAAGGUAACAUUAAAACUACUGACAACAUCAAGAGUGGGCAAUGAUGUAGAACAACUGGAAUUCUCCUACAUUUUUGUUGGGAAUAAAUUAGUAAAGACACUUAGAAAUUGGCAAUAUCUACAAAAGCCUAAUAGUGUUGAAGCAAACAUUGCACUAAACGAAGUUAAGCAUAUCCUAUAGUCUGAAUGCUGUCUUCCACCAAAAUGUGUAUGUUGAAACCCAAAGUCCAAUGUGUCAGUAUUAAGAGGUGGAACCUUCGGGAGGUGAUUAGGCCAUGAGGAAAAAGCCCUCAUAAAUGGGAUUGAUGUCCUCAUAAAAGAGGCCCCAGAGAACUACCUUGCCCCUCUGCCAUAUGAGUAUGCAGUGAGAAGGUGCCAUCUAUGAAGCAGAGAACAAGCCCUCACCAGAUAUCAAAUUUAAUGGCACUUUGAUCUUGGACUUCCCAGCCUCUAAAACUAAGAAAAAAAAUUAUGUUGUUUAUAAGCUACCAAAUUUAUGGUCUUUUGUUUAGCAGCCUGAACAGACUAAGACAGCCUAUAAGGAAGUGUUUAUUCAAUGCUAUUACUGUAGGGGAGAGAGACCAGAACAUAGUCUGUGCUCAACUUCACUAAAACAAAGGACUGGAGAGUUUUUGAGAACUGGGGUGGAUAUUAGGACAUGUGGGUUUGCUAUUUGGCCUUACCUAAAGGAAAAGUAAGUUUUCUCACAUCUUCCUGGCAGAAGGUAGUUUUACAACUCCAAGCAAGGUGCCCACUGACAUUAGUCUCCUACCCUCCCACAGAAACAGGGAAAUAAGACGCUAUCUUCCUUGUGAUUUUUGAAACAGCUCCCAGGUCCUUAGGAAACAG